rnacentral:rRNA from 1 species
GAUGAACGCUGGCGGCGUGCCUAAUACAUGCAAGUCGAGCGAACGGACGAGAAGCUUGCUUCUCUGAUGUUAGCGGCGGACGGGUGAGUAACACGUGGAUAACCUACCUAUAAGACUGGGAUAACUUCGGGAAACCGGAGCUAAUACCGGAUAAUAUUUUGAACCGCAUGGUUCAAAAGUGAAAGACGGUCGUGCUGUCACUUAUAGAUGGAUCCGCGCUUCAUUAGCUGGUUGGUAAGGUAAAGGCUUUCCAAGGCAACGAUGCAUAGCCGACCUGAGAGAGUGAUCGGCCACACUAGAGCUGAGACACGGUCCAGACUCCUACGGGAGGCAGCAGCAGGGAAUCUUCCGCAAUGGGCGAGAGCCUGACGGAGCAACGCCGCGUGAGUGAUGAAGGUCUUCGGAUCGUAAAACUCUGUUAUUAGGGAAGAACAUAUGUGUAAGUAACUGAGCACAGCUUGACGGUACCUAAUCAGAAAGCCACGGCUAACUACGUG